CUCACCCUCCUCGCCGCGCCCGGCGGCACCGGCGCUCGCUGUUCCCAUGGCAACGGUACACACCAUGGCCGCCGAGCCGCGGGCGAAGGGCGGCCCUCCCCGGCGGCGGGUCCCUCACUCACCUCCGCCGAGGGAGACCGCGGCCUCGCCGCGGCGCCGGUACCGUAUAAAGUUACAAACUUUACAGUGGUACCUGUAUUGCUGUUCAUCAAAAGGGAGAGGGGGAUACAGACGAAGGCCAGUGUCUGCCACAGUUUUGCUCCACGUUUAGGAAGAAUCCUUGGGGUGAAAUUGUGACUUCAUUGGACUGAAAGACUCACCAAGGAUUUCGGUGGGACCAGGAUUCAGCUGAUGGGCCUGGAGACAUUUCAACCCGUAGUUGCAGCAUAUGCCAUGUUUCCCAUUUCUGCAUGGAGCCUAAGUGUCUGUGCAGUGCGAAACUUCUAUAGCAUUUGAUACUGGCUAACUGGCAUAAAAAUUUAGCUAGAGAUGACCAAGCCUUAGACACAAAAAAAUGUUCCUUCCAUUCUCUUCUCAUUUUGCAUUUUGAGGGAAUUUCUGAUAUUUUUCAUUUCCUACCGCCAGAGGAAUAUGGCCUGCUGAGCAGUAAUUCCAUUUUGGUAGCUCAUCCUAGCAAUUUCCAGUAGCAGCAUUUCCUAUGUAGUCAUAUUUAUACUGAAGGAGAGCAUUAUCUAAAUGCACCAUAUUUUAAAUAACUUCAAUUAUGAUGCUGUCACUUUUUAUAACGGAUGGUACCACAGAAAAACAAUAGUCCAUCAGUGUACCAGUGUAAAAAAUUAGUUGUGAUUGGGUGAAAAAUUAAGCAUUUUUCCUAUGAUUUAAGACAUUGGAGACAAGGUCUUUCAUAUAAAAAGUAAAAUUUCAAC